rnacentral:rRNA from 1 species
AGGCAGCAGUGGGGAAUCUUAGACAAUGGGCGCAAGCCUGAUCUAGCCAUGCCGCGUGAGCGAUGAAGGCCUUAGGGUUGUAAAGCUCUUUCAGUGGGGAAGAUAAUGACGGUACCCACAGAAGAAGCCCCGGCUAACUCCGUGCCAGCAGCCGCGGUAAUACGGAGGGGGCUAGCGUUGUUCGGAAUUACUGGGCGUAAAGCGCACGUAGGCGGAUCGGAAAGUCAGAGGUGAAAUCCCAGAGCUCAACUUUGGAACGGCCUUUGAAACUCCUGGUCUUGAGGUCGAGAGAGGUGAGUGGAAUUCCGAGUGUAGAGGUGAAAUUCGUAGAUAUUCGGAGGAACACCAGUGGCGAAGGCGGCUCACUGGCUCGAUACUGACGCUGAGGCGCGAAAGCGUGGGGAGCAAACAGGAUUAGAUACCCUGGUAG